rnacentral:rRNA from 1 species
UACGGAGGGGACUAGCGUUGUUCGGAAUUACUGGGCGUAAAGCGCACGUAGGCGGAUUUGUAAGUCAGGGGUGAAAUCCCGGGGCUCAACCUCGGAACUGCCUUUGAUACUGCAAAUCUCGAGUCCGGAAGAGGUGAGUGGAAUUCCCAGUGUAGAGGUGAAAUUCGUAGAUAUUGGGAAGAACACCGGUGGCGAAGGCGGCUCACUGGCUCGUAACUGACGCUCAUGCACGACAGCGUGGGGAUCAAACAGG